rnacentral:misc_RNA from 1 species
GAACGCACAUUGCGCCCCCUGGUAUUCCGGGGGGCAUGCCUGUCCGAGCGUCAUUACAACCCUCAAGCUCAGCUUGGUAUUGGGCCCCGCCGACCCGGCGGGCCCUAAAGUCAGUGGCGGUGCCGUCCGGCUCCGAGCGUAGUAAUUCUUCUCGCUCUGGAGGUCCGGUCGUGUGCUCGCCAGCAACCCCCAAUUUUUUCAGGUUGACCUCGGAUCAGGUAGGGAUACCCGCUGAACUUAAG